AUUGAACGCUGGCGGCAGGCUUAACACAUGCAAGUCGAGCGAGCGGCGGACGGGUGAGUAAUGUCGGGGAAACUGCCUGAUGGAGGGGGAUAACUACUGGAACAGGUAGCUAAUACCGCAUACCAUCAGAUGUGCCCAGAUGGGCUUAGCUAGUAGGUGGUGUAAUGGCUCACCUAGGCGACGAUCCCUAGCUGGUCUGAGAGGAGGACCAGCCACACUGGAACUGAGACAGGGUCCAGACUCCUAGGGGAGGAAGCAGUGGGGAACAUUGCACAAUGGGCGAAAGCCUGAUGCAGAACUGCCGCGUGUGUGAAGAGGGCCUUCGGGUUGUAAAGCACGUUCAGCGAGGAGGCGUUACUCACAGAAGAAGCACCGGCUAACUCCGUGCCAGCCGCCGCGGUAAUUC
rnacentral:rRNA from 1 species